GUCCAACAAUCUAAUCUUAAUUAUUUUUCUAUUGGUCGCUUUUCUGCCUUUGUUGGCGUAGGCCCUAUCCGGGCGUGUACAUCGACGGGGCGUACACCUCUUCUGAUUGGCUGAUCCUGGUUGGCGUGUUGUGGGGGACAGUGGAUGGUGUCACUGCGGGGUAUACGUCUAAAACUGCUUGGACUCGUGCACAGUGUUUCUGCGUCUUUCACUCCCACGUGGUUUGGUUGCCAUUUUCGUUGGUUGUACGUUUUGGAGAUUUCACGAUUCAUACUUUACUAACUGUUGAAACAUUUUGAAGUCAAGUUAAAACAGUGAUUAUCUCGUCAUUUGUUAGUCACAUACUGUACAUUUGUGUGACUGUGGAGACUAGUUUCCCUUUGUGCAUCGAGUGGAAACAUCGUAUUUCGUUAUGGCGAGGAAUAUUGCAAGUGGUUCAUCACUCCCAAGAAGAAGGAAACUGCAGUCUGUUUCAUUACUGGAAGAGUGGAGUAACCUCUCCAUGGUCGAGCUCUGUUCUGAAAGAUUCGAUGACAGUUGGGUUGAGCCUGAACAACUCGAAGAGAGUAACAGUAACAGCAGUGACAGUUCUUCUCCAGGUUCACAUUCCCUUACUGGAUAUUUCACCGUGAGUCAGACUGCUCGAUCUGACAAGACUCGCCCCCUUACCGAUACCUUGAGCUUGGUUAAGAAAACGCACAAUGAUGUAGACUACGAUACUUGUUCUGUUCAGGACACCUUUGAGUGUUGUGCGGAAAUAAGCAUGGACGGUUUAAAUAAUGUGAUGAAUGGUCUAGAAUUGAUUGACAAUCUAAAUGUGAGUGCUGUAGAUACACGCAUGAAAAACUGGCCCAGCGACCAAUAUUGCAGAGUCCCAGAACGUCGUAGAUUCCAGCGCCUAGAGAAGCUCAACGUGACCCUCAACACUGGCCUGUCCCCAGUUAUUGAAGAGGCUCCCUGUCUGAACACUCAGUCCAAGCUGCUCAACGUGAGUGUGGACAUAAUCACUGGACAGACUGGCGAUCACAAACAGGCUAGGUUGUUAAAUGUGAGUGUGGACAACAUCACUGGACAGACUGGCGAUCAGGCUGACGGUCUGAAGGAGCAAGUAGGUCGGGUGGCCAGCUGGGCCGUACACGUGGACAAACUACUUCAGGACCCAGUCGGCGUUGAAGUCUUUUCGGAAUUUUUGAGGAAAGAGUUCAGCGAAGAGAACAUCUUGUUUUGGAAGGCGUGUGAGCAGUACCGUCAACUGACAGAUGACUCUGAACGCAACACUCAGGCCUGUGUCAUCUAUGGCCGCUUUUUGUCCCCCACGGCAGAUGAUCCUGUGAAUGUGGAUGGUGUAGCCCGUUCUCACACGCGGAUGUUUCUGGACAAUCCCACAGUCGACAUGUUUGAUGUGGCUCAGAAGCAGAUCCACCAACUGAUGCGUCGUGACAGUUAUGUGAGAUUCGUCAAGUCUGAUUUGUACAAGAACAAGUUAAUGGAGGAAAUGGAGGAUAAACCUGGACAGACUGGCGAUCAGGGUGACGGUCUGAAGGAGCCAGUAGGUCGGGUGGCCAGCUGGGCCGUACACGUGGACAAACUACUUCAGGACCCAGUCGGUGUUGAAGUCUUUUCGGAAUUCUUGAAGAAAGAGUUUAGCGAAGAGAACAUCUUGUUUUGGAAGGCGUGUGAGCAGUACCGUCAACUGACAGAUGACUCUGAGCGCAACGCUCAGGCCGGAGUCAUCUAUGGCCGCUUUUUGUCCCCCACGGCAGAUGAUCCCGUGAAUGUGGAUGGUGCAGCCCGCUCUCACACGCGGACGUUUCUGGACAAUCCCACAGUCGACAUGUUUGAUGUGGCUCAAAAGCAGGUACGUAUCUUGACAUUUAGUGUGGUUGUCCGUGAGAGUUGAUCUUGUGACACUAGUUGAAAUUAUUUAUACUUAUUGCAAGUAUCAUCUUAUGUUAAUAUGACUACAAAUGUACUUUCAAGUUGUUCCAAUUACAAAAUAGACAUAUUAUUAUGUUAGCAGGACAGCAUUUGCUAAUGAGGAAAUGUGUUUUUUUUUCUAAUUUGAAAGUACAAGGGUUUUUUUAAGAGAAAGGUUUUUAAUUUUUUAAGUUACUUUUCUUUUUUUUUGGAAAGGGUGCAUCAUACUUUAAAUCAGUAUUGGUAUAGCAUCUCUAACUUUCUUUCUAUGUGGUUGGUGGAUACUUUGAUGUGGCCUGCUUCUUCUUUGUGUUAUUGUUCUCCAAUUUCCCAACACAAAAUAGCAGUUGUCGUGCCGACUAACCGUUUACCACAACUCAGCAAAUGCCAGUUUUUGGUACAUGCACAAAUAAAGGGGUUGUCUUUUGUUCUUAUUUGUCUUUAUAUCAUAACCAAGGUAUGUUUUAUUUUGCAGAUAUAUCAACUGAUGCGUCGUGACAUUUAUGUGAGAUUCAUCAAGGCUGAUUUGUACAAGAACAAGUUAAUGGAGGAAAUGGAGGGUAAACCUCUGCAGGGACAGAUGCAAGACAAACUACCAGAAGAAAAAAGAGAAGAGAAAAGAGGUCGCAAAUAUAGAGCUUCUUCGGGCAUAUUGA